rnacentral:rRNA from 1 species
AAACAUGUCUUUUUGUAAAUAAUUUAAAGUUUAAUUUGCCCACUGAUNAAAGUAUUAAAGGGCUGCAGUAUUUUGACUGUACAAAGGUAGCAUAAUCAUUAGUCUCUUAAUUGGUGACUUGUAUGAAAGAUUGGAUGAGAUAUAAACUGUCUCUUAUUAAUUUAUAAAAUUUAAUUUUUUAGUAAAAAAGCUAAAAUAAUUUUAAAAGACGAGAAGACCCUAUAGAGUUUGAUAAUUUAUUUAAUUAUUGUUAAUAUUUAAAUUUUAAAAUAAAAAUAAAGUAAAUUAUUUUGUUGGGGUGAUAGAAAAAUUAAAUUAACUUUUUUUUUAUUAUUUACAUUAAUUUAUGAGUAAAUGAUCCAUUAGUAGUGAUUAAAAGAAAAAAUUACCUUAGGGAUAACAGCGUAAUUUUUUUUUUUAGUUCAAAUAGGAAAAAAAGUUUGCGACCUCGAUGUUGGAUUAAGAUAAAAUUUAAAUGCAAAAGUUUAAAAUUUUGAUCUGUUCAAUCAUUAAAAUCUUA